UGCGUUUCUAGGGUAAAAACUUAUAGUAAAGAUAAGAAAAAUGUCAUCGAAAAUCUUAAAAAUCAUUGUAAUCACUUACAUUUUAGUAUUAUUAACAGUAAUAACUAACGCUGAGAAAAAGGAUGCUGAUAAAAAGCACUCCGAAAAAAGAGCAGCAGAGAACAACACACAAAUAAGAAUGUUAGCCCCAAGUUACUGUUAUUUUUUUGGAAACUGUCUUCAAAUAUUCUGUGAAUGUCAAAAGUUGCUGUGAAUUUCAGACCUGAUAAUGUUGGCUGGACUUCUCAUCUUGCCCGUUUUGAAACUUAACAAUGUUGUUUAUUCCUUGUUCACUCUGUUGGCGUUUCUUCUCAAUGUCAUGAACUACGUGGUAUAACGACUUUAAGUGCUCCUGAACCUUUUGUGCAGCGAUUGCGUCUGCACUGAACGGCAUUUUUGUUUCUGUAAUUAAAAUUCACCGCAAAAAUAUGGGGUCCUAAAGUGCCUAUCUAGAAGUACAACGUGAUACCAGCAAAGUAAUACCAAAGUGACCAGUGCCUAAAAUAUACAAAAUAGAACAAAAAUACACGCUGUAGUAAAUACUGACUACUCUACACACGGUUCUAGUAGAAAUGUUUAUUUCAAUCAAAUCAAAAAACAUUGAUUUGACAAUUUGAUGCACUGUCAAGGAAAGGGGACACAAGAAGCACUUUAAAAUUUUACUCUGGGUGACCUUUAUAAUUUGUAUCUCACAAUAAACUUCUAUUUACUGUA